rnacentral:rRNA from 1 species
CCUACGGGUGGCACCAGUGGGGAAUAUUGCACAAUGGGCGCAAGCCUGAUGCAGCCAUGCCGCGUGUGUGAAGAAGGCCUUCGGGUUGUAAAGCACUUUCAGCGGGGAGGAAGGCGUUAAGGUUAAUAACCUUGGCGAUUGACGUUACCCGCAGAAGGAGCACCGGCUAACUCCGUGCCAGCAGCCGCGGUAAUACGGAGGGUGCAAGCGUUAAUCGGAAUUACUGGGCGUAAAGCGCACGCAGGCGGUCUGUCAAGUCGGAUGUGAGAUCCCCGGGCACAACCUGGGAACUGCAUUCGAAGCUGGCAGGCUAGAGUCUUGUAGAGGGGGGUAGAAUUCCUGGUGUAGCGGUGAAAUGCGUAGAGAUCUGGAGGAAUACCGGUGGCGAAGGCGGCCCCCUGGACAAAGACUGACGCUCAGGUGCGAAAGCGUGGGGAGCAAACAGGAUUAGAUACCCCUGUAGUC